GGACAUCCUGACUGAUGGGGAUGAGGAAAGUGUUUCCAAAGUAACCCUUCUGUUGGGAAGAGUAUUUGAAAAGGAUGGCAAACAAUCACCAAACCCCAAAACUGUCAGCACAUUGAAACAAAUGUUGUCUGAUGUAGUGCACAGAAUUUUCCUUGCUAAGUCUGUAAAGAAAGCAGAACACAACCUCACAGCAAUGUUGGAAAUUCUGCUGAUUAUGCAGGAUCAGUUCGUCACUGGCAUUAAUGCAACAGACC